CCCUUAGAUGUUCUGGGCCGCACGCGUGCUACACUGAGUGGAUCAGCGGGUCAGGUUGCGCGAAAGCGUUUCCUAAUCUUUAAAUCCGCUCGUGAUGGGGAUUGACGGUUGCAAUUUUCUGUCAUGAACGAGGAAUACCUUGUAAGCGCGGGUCAUCAUCCCGCGCUGAAUACGUCCCUGCCCUUUGUACACACCGCCCGUCGCUCCUACCGAUUGAAUGGUCCGGUGAAAUCUUCGGACCGGGCGAUGGUCAGCAAUGGCCGCUGCCUGGAAAGUCGCUUAAACCUUACCAUUUAGAGGAAGGUGAAGUCGUAACA
rnacentral:rRNA from 1 species